UACGAAGGGGGCUAGCGUUGUUCGGAAUUACUGGGCGUAAAGCGCGCGCAGGCGGCUAUCCAAGUCAGUGGUGAAAUCCUGGAGCUCAACUCCAGAACUGCCUUUGAUACUGAAAGUCUUGAGUAUGGGAGAGGUGAGUGGAACUGCGAGUGUAGAGGUGAAAUUCGUAGAUAUUCGCAAGAACACCAGUGGCGAAGGCGGCUCACUGGCCCAUUACUGACGCUGAGGCACGAAAGCGUUGGGGAGCAAACAGG
rnacentral:rRNA from 1 species